UACAGGGGGUGCAAACGUUGCUCGGAAUUACUGGGCGUAAAGCGAGUGUAGGUGGUCGUCCAAGUUGGAUGUGAAAGCCUUGAGCUUAACUCAAGAAAUGCAUUCAGGACUGGGCGACUAGAGGACCGGAGAGGAUAGUGGAAUUCCCAGUGUAGUGGUGAAAAUACGUAGAGAUUGGGGAAGAACACCAGUGGCGAAGGCGGCUAUCUGGACGGUUUUCUGACACUAAGACUCGAAAGCGUGGGGAGCAAACAGG
rnacentral:rRNA from 1 species